CUGACCAAGCUACGAGUGAGGGGUUAAGAGUUGUAUAAUGAUGAUACUAGUUUUAGAUAGGACUCAUAUGUUGACCAGUGUGUACCCUCCUAGAUUAUGCCAAGCUUAUGAGUUAAGGCAGCAUAGUCGUACCCUUCAUUACGAGUCAUAUGGUUGAGUUGUAAAGACUGACGACCAAAUUUUGUAAUGUUUAGCCAAGGGUUUUUUUGACUUUUCUUCUCAUAUAACUUUCUAUACACG
rnacentral:lncRNA from 1 species